ACAAGAUCUAUAUUUCUGAUCGAAAAAUUUAGUGCUAUAUCACCACUUUUUAUAGGAUUUUAUUUUCAGUCGUUAAAAAUUUUUGAUUUUGAAUCCUUUUGAUUGCUAGGUAAAUGAUCAUGAAAAUCGCAAAAAUUAUUUCUAGAAAAGACUUUAAAUACGCUAGAUCAAGUUUAACGGAGCCGAUCGUCGAUUCGAAAACUCCAUCAUCGAAAACGGCUCAGGAGCACGGAGGCCUCCGUGCUCCUGAGAGCACAGCAGCCCUGCUCUAUAUAUAUAUAUAUAUAUAUAUAUAUAUAUAUAUAUAUAUGUUAUCUUAUCAAAUCAUGAAUAACAAGAAAUGUUAAGAAAUAAAAAUCAAACUUUCCAUUUACAAUCACACCUAAAAAUGUUUAUAUUGAAUAAGUUAUUCUUGCAUAAUUUAUUCCGGCAUCCAACCAUAACCUAAAAAAUAUUGUUUGGGUACCUAAAUAUUUUAUUGAACAAAUCUUUUUGAUUUAUUUUUAAAAAUAUAUAAAUCCAGUAGGAGAGGAGCGUGAUUAAAUAUCUAAAAUUGCUUUCGAAUAUCAUAUUCAGCCUUAAGCCAUUUUUUCGGAAUAAGAAAAAUCAACUCGCAUUAAAUGCGCUAUUCAACCAAAUUAUGAUAAUUAAAACCAUUGUAAAGAACAAAAAUUAAGCCUCCAUCAUCUUCCAACCACACAAGAAAUUUUGUUAUUAUUGAAUAUCUUAUUUGUACCUCUAAAUAAAGCUCAAUAUGUCAUUUUACCAUUUCAACAAAUAUCACCCUCCGAAGUUGCUGGCGACGCCAACCAAUGACCAAGGACUCAAUUAAUAUAAACCCAUUAUUUCAACUAACUAAACCUCAAAGUUUCCUGUUUCCAACCAAGCUUAUUAAUAAGCUCCUCUACCUUUUCUGACAAUGGAGACGCAUUAACAAGUUCCUUGAAGUCGCACACCAAAAAUCCUUCAAAUAAUGUAUCGAGAGAAGUAUCAUAAUAAACAAGAUAUUAGAGUUGACGAAGAGUAAUUUGACAGAGGACCCAGAAGAUGUAACUUUUUACAAGUGUUUCUCUGACGACCACAACUAUAAAAUCAUUCGACGUCAAAAUUUCCAAAGUUUCUUUUCACGGAACAGGUAGAGAAACUUAGAUCAACAUAAUCCCAAGCAAUAAGCACGUGCUUUGAAAGUCAUACCAACAUUAAAAUACAACAGUGUCUAGCAUCGUUCCGAGAGUCUGCACGAUGUUGGAUGACAUCAAGUUCGAGACGUGCUCCUCCAGGUGCUUCUUUGCAUCUUGCCGCCCUACAUUAGCGAUUGCCAGCUUCUCAGGCGGCAGUUCGUCCUCCUCCUGGACUGCUUUAUUGUACUUGAUAGCCAAAUUCAGCAUUUCCUGCCCAUAUGUUCAUCAUAUUAAUCAGAACAAGAUGAUAAUUUCAAUUGAGGCAAAAUCAAUGAAGUCCGCUUGAUUUGAAUUGGCCUGUUUCCACGCACCACCGUCAUGCUCACUAAAUUAGUACAAGGGCAUGUGCUACUUGGUUGAAGGGGAAAAUGAAAGAUGCCUACAAGUCUACAACCACCGAGCAUAUACAACCUUUAAAUCAUUUUUAUGUUUUGCUAGUAGAAUGCAUUUCUCUUCAUGAUCAUGAAGAUCUUACAAUGGACUAAAAUCAAACAACUCGAAAAGAGAAUUCCCAUACAGCUAAAGCCAUCCAGUAAGAUAUCACUGAGACAACUUGAUUUGCCCAUCCAAAUAGGCCCUAAAUCUAGUGGACAUGGACCUUCCCUUUUGGCUUACUAGCAAAGUUCAUGCGCUGGAGCAGAGUAGCAAAUUUACAGCAUCGAAUACAAAUAACUAUCAAAUCAAUAUUGUAAAGCUGCAGACAGCCAGCCGUCUCAGUAGGCUUACCUGCACAGUCUGCUCAUUAGUUUUGGCAUGUGUAUCGAAUCGCCGCAGCAUCAAACCAUCCGUCCACUUCUUCUUAUGCAAAUUCAGUAACAUCUUUUCCUCCAGCUCAUUUUUACGAUAAUUAAUGGCUAUGGAGUAGUAAUGUCGGUUCAAUCCAUGAAUCAAUGCCUGGAAAGGCAAAGAGAAUGAGAGUAAGUAGCAGAAAUAAGAAUGAUAAACAGAUAUUAUCCAUAUUGUUAUCUACUAAAGCAAAGAGGUUACCUGAAUGGAUGGUUUGUUGAGGUGUCCAACAUUGGAUGUGGUCUGGCGAGGCUCUUGGCCUAGCAUCAUAGUCUGAGGAUUAAUCAACCGGAAAGCAUCAAUAACCACCUUCCCCUUUACACUUUGGAUUGGGUCUACAACCACUGCAACCGCCCUAGGAUUUAAGGCUUCAAAACUCUGCACAUUGAAAUAUUCGAAUGAUAAAGUUUAAGACCACUUCAAAAUGACAUAAUGGAUUGAACUGCAGAAAAAUAAACAGUUUAUAAUACGAACAGAAAAAGUCUGAACUGAAAAUAAACAUCAGAAAAAGAAAUUCUUUAGACAAGUGGAAAUUCCUAAUUCAUAACUUAAUAUGAAAGAAAAGUAUGUAAAAAUUUCAAGUUACUUGAAAAGGAAAAAAAAAGAAAGUGAGGCACAAACCUGCUGGGUAUUUAUGUCAACACCAGAGAGCCAACAACCAAAGCCAGGAUGAGAGUGGUACCAACCCACCACCAUUUCCGGUCUGUACAAUUUGAACAAGUUAGAAUAUAUGCUGAGACUAAAACACAUCUGAUAAAAAGAAGAAUCUUGACUAUUCUGACACAAAUUAAUAGGCCACCAUGAAGCAUCCAAGUUUUGUAUCUUUUUUAUAUUGCUUUUGUAGAUACCAAAUCUGAUGCAAGCCUUCAAUUAUAGGUGGGUCUUUGCAUUGUUCUAGUGCCAAUAGAUAUAUAUUAUAGGAAGAAGUCCUAAUGAUUCCUAUUAGAUAUUUCAAUUCUUCUUUACUAUGCACUGAAAAAACACAAACUUUGCAACACACAUCACCUAAACAAGAAAACAAGAACUAAUUAAAUAGAAGGUAAACCGUAGGAUGUCACAUAAAAGCAAGAAUUUGUAAAUGGGUAACACCUAAAAGUCCUUUAAGAUGAAUAUAAAGCAUCUGCUUACUUACGUACAAGACAGUAAAAACAUUCACUGUUAUCAAGAAGGAACAAUAUAGCACACUAACAAGUUCUAAGCAAUUCUUGGUUGAAUUUAGCCAAUCUAAGCAAAAAGAUCUUAACUUCUGGUUACAUUUGUACAGAAUUUAAAGUGAAUAUAUCUUCAGUUCUAAACAAUAGGAAGAAGCUGAUUUGUUUUUACAGCUAGGAGCAACAUCUAAACAGCAAAGAGACUAUUAACUGAAAAGGAGAUGAAACAACAGCAGCAGCAACAGCAGUAAAAGAGAAGGAUAAGAACAGCACUAACAGUAUACAUAGAAGAUAUAAACGAUGCUCCAAAAACCAUAUACCAUAGUAAUUGCUAAAACAUCGUUUGGUGCUGCAAAACUCAAAGUCAAAGAAUAAAAAAGGGAACUCCAAAACACAUAAUGUGGAGAACUAAAAAUUUAAUGUAGCAUGCGUACGCAAAUACAUGAGAGCUAAUAAGUUUGUGUAGGGGCACGAAAGCGCACACGUGCACACAAAUAUGAUGCAGGCCAACAUAGAGUGUGCCAACAGACACAUAGCCAUAUACAUGAUUUGCAAUCAUUUUAGCGUCACUUGUAAAUCUUCUGCAUCUCAUACACUCAGUACAGAGAGAAGCAAAACUUCCACAUCUGCUGAAGCAUUGCAUAAAACGCAUUUAUAAGGGCUACAAAAAGCGAAGAUAUGGGAGUGUCCUAGCAUGCCUCUUGCCUAGCAUGGGCUUUAAAACAUAAUCUAAUCUACAUCCUACAUUAAAACAUGAAAUUACUCAGCAUUUUAAGAUAACAACAACCCCACAAGCUUCAAUGUUUUAAAAUUAGCAUUCACAACACUAGCCUCAUGAUCUUACUUACAAUCUAGAGAGCUACACUUAGCAUUCCAAUAAUUCUCUUGUUUCCAAACGCAAUUAUACUAUAAGAUCUACUUGCUAAAGAGCAGGUAGGGUUAGAUAUUAGAGACCUUCCAGUUUGCUUGAGCAUGUCGAGCAUGUUUGUUUGGAAGACGUGAUCGACGGCCUCGACGCUAACCCCUGUUCCGCUCUGCGGCAUCGCGAAGACGUCGACGACGCGCACCGUGUACUCGUCCACGAACUCGCCGAGCAUGAGCCCCAUCACCUCCAUGGGAACCCCGGCCCUUCCUAUACCAACGAAGACGCUGAGAAACCAUAAUCCGAAGACGAAGAGAGGAAAAAGGGGAAGGGGUUUAGGGUUAGGGUGAGUACCGUGCUUGAGCAUCUUGAGGAGGGCGAGGGAGGAGAUGUAGACCUGCUCGGAGGAGUCGAGGAGAGGGGCGUCGCUGGGUGGGUGCCCCAUCCCCCCCGCUCCGAAGAUUCGAGAUAACCUCUCCAUCUCUCCUCCUCUCCUCCUCUCUCUCUCUCUCUCUCUCUCUCUCGAUCUCAACGAUGAGCUCUUUGCUCUGGUUUUCUUCGGGGAAGAAAAGGUAAUUGCAUGCGCGUCCCUGAGAAGUACUAAAAUUGUUAACUUGUCCCUUCAAAUUAUUGGGCCUAACAUCUGGUUCGCACAUAUAAUAAGGCCCACCAACUUCCGCACAAAAUCCCAAAUUCCAUCUGGGAUUUUAACUAAUUUUGUUUACUUUGAUUAAGCCUAUGAACAAAAUGUUGCCCGAAACCAUAUGAAUAAUUUAAGGCCGAAUUUGGCCCAUUGAAUCUACGUGGGCCCAACCAAGGAGAGACGAUCCGGCGCCAAAAAUCAGCAGCACCACCAUUUUAGAACAAUUUUUUUUUUUUUAUCUGUUUUCUUCUUGUUUUUUGUCUUUCGUUUUUCGUUUUUUGUCUGCGUUCCUUCGAUCGGGUCUUGUAUCAGGUUUUUUUUUUUUGUUCAUUUAUUUUCCCCCAUUCCAUUUUAUUCCUUGUUUUGAUCUCUCUCUCUCUCUCUCUCUCUCUCUCUCAUUUAUUUUUCCCCAUUCCAUUUUUUUCCUUGUUUUGAUCUCUCUCUCUCUCUCUCUCUCUCUCUCUCUCAUAUUGAAGGGAAGUGCGGAGGGGAUAUGGCUCAGAGAGUGGACCAAGAGCACGAUUAUUCCAUCUUUAAGAUCGUCUUGUUCGCUGAAACUAGCGCGGGCAAAUCGAUCAUCUCGCGAGCUCUCCAGUUCGUAAUUUCUCUUCUGGUAUCUCAAUAUGUAGGUUUUGUUGUGUCCUGUUUCAAUUUUACCUGGUGUCAGUAUCUCCAAGUUUGUUGUUCUGUUUCUUCUUUAGGUUAUUGCUAUUUGCUUUAAAGCGUUGUCAAUGAUUAUGAUCACUAGUGCCUGUAGUAAUGCCGCAGUAACCAAGCUGUUACAAUCAUGUAAUGAGUUCUAUUAUUUAAAAACGUUAUAUCUGAAACAAUCAUUUUAUUCUGAAUGAGCAUUAUUUUCUAUAUUGAUUGACGUCUUUAGUACAUACAUAUGUUGAAGUUAGACUCAUCCUUUUAAUUAAAUGAACUUUGGACUUGAGCUCGAUGAAAUUGCUGAUAUCUUAACUAGUAAGCACUUAACUAUGUUAGAAAUGGAUCAUUAGAUAUAUACAUAUACAUAUAUGUAUGUAUACAUAUACAUAUACAUAUAUGUAUAUGUGUGUGUAUAUAUAUAUAUAUAUAUAUGAAACUUAGGAAUUCUAUUGAAAUCCAUGGACCCACUUUAAUUUUCCAAAACUGCAUCCUAUCGAAAGUUUAAAUCAGAUUUGGGAGUAGAUUAGUAACUCUGUUUUAUGAUGUCGACAUUUGAUUCUGAAAAGUCAGCACUACUCUUUCGCAACUGUAAUCACUGAAAUUUCAACAUAUACUAAGCAACCCAUUGUACAUUAUUUGUGAGAAAAUUAAGAACGCCGUCUAAUGUAUAAGAUAAGAUUUAUCCAUGGCUGUAGACAUCUCAAUUCAUCUUCUUCCUUUAUUUGAGAUGAUGGUGGCUUUUUUUUUUCCGAUGUUUAAGAUACUACCUUUUUGUUGCCUGUGCUGACGUUUUCUACAAAAGAUAUGGUGAUUGAUAUAUGACAAUGUUUGUUAUCUUAAUUCUUUCAGAAUUUUUACUCUUCUGUUCAGUUCGGAAUGUGAGUUGCAAUUUUAUUCAUGUUUCAAGUAACUGCCCAUACCGUCAGAAUAAUGUAGGCUUAUCUGAUUGGCGUAUCAUCUAGUCAAUGUUCUUCUGUGAAGGAUGAAAAAGUUUGGGGUGCGGUGGGGUGUGGGUAGGGGUGGGGGAUUAGAAUAUGUCCUUUUUCAUCCUCUUGUGUCAAUUUCUUUCAAAAGGAAUUUGGUAGGUUUGAUAAUUUGUUAUUACUUCUCUUUCUUAUCGUCCCAAAAAAGCCAGAUGCUUAUGAAUCUGCAUUAUGUGAAGAUGCUUUUCUCCUCUUUCAGUGAACGAAUUGUUGCAUUCUGGGUUUAUUUAUCAGUUACGAGAACUUAUCCCGAACAUUGUUCUUUCUUUCUCUUUCAGAGACUAUAUAUCCGUAUGAUUUCUGUGUCAUAGUAUAUUAGAUGAUUAGAUCUUUCUACGUCUGAGGUCUAUCACUUCACCCCACCAAAGAUUGAGGUCCAGGUCUUUGCAUGUGCAUCUCAUUUUGGGAACUUUCUGUUUCAUUAUGCUGAUUCCUGUUCAGAUUCUUGUAUUGAUUCUCCAUCAGAAGAAAAGGAGGAAAAAGAAUUGAUUCUUCUAGCUUUCAAUCUUGCUUUUGCAAUGGUGUUGUGAAAUGGUUUAACCUUGUGAAAUGGUUUAACUUUGUAGACAUGAUGUUACCAUGUAGAGUCAAGUAGAAAAUUUGCUUUGUUGUAUUCAAAUGCACAAACUGUGUUUGGAUUUGGAUCAUAUUUCCUAAAUGGUUUAGUGGUUAAAGUUAUUUAACGUGUUGUGCUAGCGGUCUCCCCUGUUUGAUUAGCACCAAGGUAUUUUAUUCCACUUGAUGUAACUUGAAAUCUAGAGAGCUCCUCAUGCAGUAGUAGCCCUCGAGGGCUUAAACUUGUUUGUCGAUUUAGAUUCCUUGGAACAUAUUUCUGCCUAAUAAUCUGUUGAUAACAUACUAUAAUAUGAUCUCAUGCAAUCUCAGGACCUGGGAUGUAUUUGUGGGUCCAUCACAUGAACAACCGAUAUAAUUAGAAAUCAGGUGCCGACUACACUUUCUCGUGCCAGGAUUUCUUUCUAGAACCGAACACUAACCAAUGUAAUAGCUAAUGCGAGCAGUUAUAUUAUUCAUGAUGCUCCAAAUUGUUUGAGAUAUCAUGAAAAACAUCUAACUGGUUGACUUUAUAGGUCUUAAUGUACUGUCAUAAAUAUUGGUAUGUCCUGUACAACAUCCAUGUUAUUGGGACUAUCUCUUUUCUUUGGUUAUAUAAAGAGAAAUAACUGUUGUCCAUUAUGGAACCCACAUAACCAAACGUUAUUAGCAUGUUAACUCAUUCCUUUGGAAAAUGGGUUUCUAUCCUUCAAAAGUCAAAACUUUAAUUCUUCAUUAUAUCCUUCAGAUACGCAACUUUCUCACAAAAACUAUUAUCAGGUGAAUCAUGUCAAAAAUUCAACUAAACUGGGUUCAGAUUGCAUAUUCCUUAUCGAAAUGUAGUCACAAAUUGGGAAAAGCUUCUAAAACCUUUUAGUGGGAUCCUAUCCAUAUAGCUGGCAGUUUAAAAAGAUCCGAGUUUGUAGCAAUGCUGUUUUCCCACAACAUCUCUACAGUUUUGCGGCAAUUGUGCAUAAAUGUUUUCUUUCUUAAGAGUUAAGUUGCUUAUACAAAAAAGUAAUAAGAGUCUUUUGUUCUCUUACCCAAAACUGAAUUUCUUAUUUGUUUGUGUUAGUACUAAAUGUAUUGCUUCUCUUCCAAAUGCUUCCUAAAUAGUAGAUACUGUUUUUAUUUCCUUGAUAGCUAGCUUUCAAGAGGAGCUGUGUUGCAGAGCUCCUAAUUUAACUACAUGAUAAAAGAUGAAGAUAUUGAGUCGAGCAUGUGAUCAGAUCUUCCGGCUUUAUUCUCCUCUCCUACGACUGCCAGCUUCUUCCUUAGUAAGCCUCCAUUACCUUUAACUUAUAGUCUUGCCUUUCACAUGGAUCAGGAAAAUCACGUGAGGACUUUUUUACAAAAUAAUCAUCUAAAAUUUUAUAAUUUGCGAAAUAACCCUAUCAAAUUUGUAUUUGGCAAAUUAACUCUCAAAACGCAGUGAAUCAUUCACCGUAUUCUGAAAGUUUUUAAGGUCUUUUAAAGGCGGUGAAUCAUUCACCGUCUUCUUCAUAAUUUUUAAAAGACGGUGAAUGAUGUCUUCUUCACAAUUUUUUGGGAAAGAGAAAAAAAUAAGGUUGUUAAAAUUGUACGUAGAUUAUACGGGAAAUAAAAAAAGUGAGGUUGUUAGGAUUGUGUGUGGAAUAUUAGAAUUUUUGUUUGAUUGAUAGAAUUAUAUGGAUAGAUUAUUAAAAAUUUUUUGAUUGUUAGGAUUAUAUUGACAUACUAGUGAAAUACCCGCGCGAUGCUGCGGAUCUAAAAAUAUUUUUACAAUAAAUUUUAUUUUUUUUCAUAUUUUUAUAUAGUUUUAUAAGUCUAAUUAUUAAUUAAAUAAAAAUGAUAGAAAAAUAAUUUAAUAGUUAAAUCUAUUUAAAUAAAAGUCAUUAAAAUUGGUAUAUGCGCAAAUAAAUUUAUACAUCACUUUAUUUUAUAAAGAUUUCUGUGAGAAGGAUUUGAGAUAAAUCUAUCAAAAUAAUUUUAAAAAAAUCAAUAGAUAGAAGGGAAAUAAAUUUGUAGAAGAAAUUGCUUAAUAAAAUUAAUUAUAUAUAUGUACACAUAUACACUAUAUUUUUAAAAUUUUUCACUUGAAAUUUAAAUUAUGUAUUUUUUUUAUACAACGAUAUUUUACGUGAUUUAAAUUAAAUCUAUCAUGUUAAACUUUAUUAUGCGAUUUAUUACGCGUAUUAUUAAUAAAUUAAUUAAUUAAUUUCAUAGAGUUUAGAGAUUUAAAAUUUUAAAUUUUGAAGAAAUUUAAAUUAUGUAUUUUUUUAUACAACGAUAUUUUACUUAAUUUAAAUUAAAUCUGUCAUGUUAAAUUUUAUUACGCGAUUUAUUACGUCUAUUAUUAAUAAAAUUAAAUUAAUUAAUUUCAUAGAGUUUAGAGGUUUAAAAUUUUAAAAUUUGAAGUUAUAAAAUUGAAAAUAAAUAUUAUAAGUUAAAAUUAAAAUUUAGAAUUUAAAAUAUUUUUGAUAAUGACGCAAUAUAAUUAACAAUUUAAAAUGUCGGUUUCGUAGAUUAUUUCGUGUUUUUUUUUAUUUUGAUUGAUUGUACCCUUUGCAUCUCCCUUUCUUAACUUGUGCUCUUCGCUUGUUUCCCAUCUCCCUUUGUCCCCAUCAUGCGCUCUUUGAAAAUUUUUUACUAUGAAAGAUGUGAAAAUGUCAUCGAUGUGACGCUCAAUACUCUUAUCGGAUGAGAACGAAGUUAUGAUUGAAUUAUUAAAAAAAAAAUUCAUAUACCCUUAUGUGGUUUCACACUUUUUCACUUUAGUAUCCUAUGAUUUAAAAUGUAUUAAGUUAGCCCAUGUGGUUUCGCACUUUCUCACUUAGUACCAUGUAGUUUAAAGUGUAUCAAGUUAGUAUCCUGUGAUUUUAUUUUUCUCUUUUUAUUAUUCAUUUUACUAAUUUUUUCGUUAAAUCAGUGACAAAGUUAAAGCUAAAGGAUACUAAACUGAAUAUUCGAUAAACCUAGAUAGGGUAUUUGAAGUUUUUUGUAUAUAAUUUAACGAAAUAUUAACGGAGGAAAAAAAAAUCAGUGACAAAUUUAAAAGUAAAGGGUACUAAAAUAAAUAUUCAAUAAACCUAGGUAGGGUAUCUGAAGUUUUUUGUAUAUAAUUUAACGAAAUAUUAACAGAGGAGCCGACGAAAAGAGAAAAAUGAAACCACAGGGUACUAACUUGAUACACUUUAAACCACAGGGUACUAAAGUGAGAAAGUGCGAAAUCCCAGGGGCUAACUUGAUACACUUUAAACCACAGGGUAUUAAAGUGAGAAAGUGUGAAACCACGAGAGGGUAUUUGAAAUUUUUCCUUAUAAAAAUCUAUGGACGUUAGUAAUAAUAACUGUGCUUUAGCAUUUUGGACAAAUGAUUUGGAUUCAACGAGUUACUAUUACUAGUGAACAAUAUCAUUAUAAGUCGAAGGACAGUGAGUCGUAUAUUAUCUCUCCUAAUUAAAUAUUAAAUAAUAAACUUCAAAUAUCAGCCUUGUAGUUUUACAUUAAUUACUGAAGAGAAUAAUAAAAAAAUAAAAAUAAAACCACGAGACACUAAAUUGAUACAUUUUAAACCACAGGUACUAAAUUAAUGCAUAUAUCGAACACGAGUUGAAAUUAGCUCGUUCUUAUUUAAUUUCGAACUCGUUUUGAGCCGAACACGAACUGGCUCGCAAUUCACAACCCUAGUUACGACCCACAGACAACUUAAAUAAACAAAAAAAUAAAAGUAAAAAAAUAAAGCUCUAAUCCCGAUGCGUUGACCGGUUGACCACAAAAUAGUCUUAAAAAUUAUAUCAUGCAACGCGUUUUCUGGUUGACAUUUACCAUGCAACGACACCAACCUCCCUUUCUCUCUCUUCUUUCUCUCUCCUCGUAGUAUUAUUUUUUUAUUUUUUUGGGUAAAAAUGUACGGAGAACCCCUUAACUUUUGAAUNGUAUUAUUAAUAAAAUUAAAUUAAUUAAUUUCAUAGAGUUUAGAGGUUUAAAAUUUUAAAAUUUGAAGUUAUAAAAUUGGAAAUAAAUAUUAUAAGUUAAAAUUAAAAUUUAGAAUUUAAAAUAUAAAAUUUAAAAUUUAAAACUUUAAAAUUUGAAAGUAUCAAAAUUUUAAAUUUUGAUAUCAAAAUUUAAAAUUAUAUAUAUAGAGAGAGAGAGAGAGAAUAAAGGAGGGUUUGGGGGGGAGGGGAGGGGGACACGUGUCACCCUAUAGGCCCCCCAAACCCUCCUUUAAUGUAGUAAGAAUAGAUUAUUAGGAUUUUCAAAUUAUUAAGAUUAUAUGUGAUAUUUGAUUAUUACGAUUGUAUGGAUAGAUUAUUAGGAUCUUUUUAAUUGUUAGGAUUGUAUGGAUAGAUGAUUAGAAUUUUCAGAUUGUUAAGAUUAUAUGUAAUUUGUUGAAAUAUUUAUAUAGUUGUUAGGAUUAUAGAAAAAAAUAAUAAACAAGUGAAAGGCGGUGAAUAAUUCACCGCUUUUUUGAGAAAUUAGGAAAGCGGUGAAGGCGGUGAACUAUUCACCGUCUUUAAGAGAUUAGUUUUUUAAAUAUAAUUUUGGCAAGGUUAUUUCGCAAAUAAUAAAAUUUUAAAAGGUUAUUUUAUAAAAAAGUCCUCACGUGAAGGUAUAAGCAGAUUACUUUCUUUUUUGUUUGGUUCAUAAUUCAAAGUUAACUUAUUAGUUCUCUUUCCUAAUUGCUACAACUGUUCUUCAAAAGAUGAAAUGAAGCAAAAAUGUUCCAACGAAGUUCGAUUGUGGGUGCCUGAAGCGAAAGUGCUCAGAAUAGAUGUUUUUGGCACAAACAAUGGUAGACUAAAACAAUGUACAUGAGGAGGUCAGGGUAAAGAGUAUGAUACUGUGAUCAAGUACAAUGAUAAAUUGCAGUUUAGGCCGUAAGGCCCGACUUCUUGACAAGCUCAACUUGGGUUUUUUUUUAUUUUUUAUUUUUUAAGACAUACAAACUUUGCAUUAAAUUAUUAAAACAAAAUUUUCAUUUCCUUCUCCAAUCUGUAAAUUGGACGUGGCUUUUAAAUCCUAUCUCUGGAUGAAUUAGGUUUAAUAACUAAACAAAGCAAUAUGAAAAUGAAGGAGAAAAGCUAUCUUGAGUAGGGGAAUAUCGAUGUCACUUCCCCUAGCAGCUUUAGGAAUUCAAUAAUGGUCAGUCACCUGUUAGGAGGUCAGUAGUAUGCCUUUUUCUAUUUUAGUGGUCAAUGAGAAAGCUUCUGUUUUUGACUCGAACACCUUCCUUUUCCUUUGUUCAAUCUCACAUCUUAAGAAUUUGUGUGGCCACAAUUUAAAGAUUAGUGGAAGCAUAUGUUUGCAUGUUUUCUGUGUGGUAAGAGCUAAGGCUAUUACCAUCUGGGUUUGUGAUUAGGCUUUCAAAAGGCCAUCUGGAAGCUUUGGUUGCGCACUAAAAGCUUAAUGGAUGAAUCCAAUUAAUCCUUUUUGACAUGUGGAUCCACUUAAUCCUUAUACUUGAAGCAUAGAUUGCUUUACAUCCACUCACCAAUUGUAAUUACUAUAAGGUGAGAACAUUUCUAUCUACUUCAACUAGCUUUCACAUCACAAUCAUCUAUGGAGUAGUGAUCAUUAGUGUCUGUUUAGCGUGGCUUCUAAAACAAUGUCUUUCUUGAUAAAGUAGAAAAUGGAGCAGAAAAGUUGAGAACUUCUGGAUGGAAGGGAAGCCAAAAAGACUUCUUGGGCCCGAAAAUAGUGCUUCCAAUUUAACCUAUAUCUACCUGCAACACAAGUCGUCGAGAUUUACUGAAGAAUUGUCGGACUUAUUAUGCUUCUUCCUAUGGCUUUACUCAGCUAGCAUUUUCUAGAACAUCUUGUUAAAUCUAGUAGACUCUUCCUCAGGAAGCUUGAUUAAAAAGCUGAUGCGAACUUUUGGUACCCUAGGAAUAAAAUUUCCCUACUGUCAUGCUUUAGUCAUAAGCUCACAAACAAUUAGCAAAGUUUCUAUAGGGAUUUAGCUUGAUUAUAGUUUCACUUAUAAUUCAGAUUUAGACCUAAGAUUUGAGUCCAAGAUACCUAAAUUUUUUAUUGAACCCGCGUCUCGGUCUCAGAAGAGGACGAAGGGAAAACAAAGAGUGUUUAUGGUCUCUGAAACAAAUUGACUUUCUAGUGGUUAAAAGUCACAAAAGAACAAAAUUGCCGCACUAAGCAAAGCAAUAUAAUCACUUGUCAUAUAAAUAAUUUUAGUAAAAUGAAUGGCAUUACGAAAGAUCUAACUAUGGAUGAAAAGUCUAAAUAUAUGCUUGUUGAUCAUGUUUCUCAGGUGCUAGAUAGGAGCUCCACUAAUAUAUAUCCAAUUUAUGGUUCCACCAAGAACGGUCAUUGCGAAGGAGCUAAACAUUUUUGAAAAGUCAAAAGGAUGAAGGAAUGCAAGUGUGCCACUAACGGUGGAUAAGUAAUUGAGGUGUAUACGUUAUUUUAACAUAGGGUAGUAGCUUUUGAGAUUUGAGUAUCCUUCUUCAUAUAGCCAGGAUUGACUAAUAAAGCAGAACAAUUUGGAAGUUACAUAGAGAUGGAAACUUGUCAUCUAAUACAUGUUCAUAAAAUAAAAGUAAAGUGGCAUGAUCUCAUUGUUAAAUUGUUUUCAUGUAGGAAUUAACCUCAGUACAUGCUUUAUUCGCACGUGGUACAUGCGAGCAGGUAGCCUUAUAGAGUCAAAAGCUAAAAACUCCAAUUGCGGUGUUUUUUUACUUUGCCACAGGAAAAUAUGUUGAGAGUUUAUUAAUUUGGUCUUCUUCUAAUAGCUUUUUUAAAUUUCACUUUAUCAAACAACACUACACUCUAGUCAGGCCAAAUAAGCUACAUUUUUUUCAUCUGCAACCAACUUCUAUAGGGUUAAUACAUUGCUGCUCCAUGAUGGAUGGAAAGCUCAACUACUUGAAAUUGUUAAAUCCAUGCAAGUAAAGCUAUUAAUUGAAGUAGGAAAACAAAGUAGAAACUAGUGUAGUUACGUAACCCAAACAAACACACACCUCACUGUAAGAUAUCAUGAAACUACAUAUUUAAAAUUGGUCAAUUAGCCAUCAUUCACCAUGUAUGUGUCAUCUCCAACAAAUUAGCAAUUGUAAACACACAUGUUUGUUGUAGGAAAAAUUUAUAGUGCCACUUUAUCUGAUUAUUAAUUAAUAGUCGAUGGUAGACUCAAGAUCAUUAAAGUAGAUUCUCCACUAUAGAGUGGUAAUUAGUCCAUAGUAUAUUUGUGCUAUGAAUUUAUGCGCAUUAAAUACCAAAAGAAAUAAGAGAUAAUAUUUAGAAUAAAGAUAAAAGAACUAGUUUAUUACGCAAAAAAAAAGAAGAAAAGAGUUAGGCACCUCUCUCUGGCAAUUAUGGCAGGAAUAAUGCACAGAGGUCUGUGAAUUAUUGGAGCAGCUUUUCGGAUAUAACUUGAUUUGUGCCUCCUUAACUAUUUCUUAAUAAGAAAAUACUUUGCUCACAAAGUUUGCUGACGUUGAUACGGUAGUACUAUUAUGAUCGUCAUAUUCUUUUCUCGUAAAAUACAUCAAAUUAAUUAAAUUUUUCGUACCUGCAUGCUGGAGAAAAUUUGUAUAAUGUAAAAGCGGCUGUAGUAAUUUUAUCUCCUGGUUUUAAUCCCUUCCGCUAAUUAGUCAAGUGGCUUGAAAAGUACCCUCGCAUUUUAUGUAGAUACGGCCUAUGCAUUUUACCAUUAAGUGGCUAGCAUUAACACUAAUCCUUGACCCAGACCCUAGUAAAGUCUCUUUCCAUUGGGUCUUCCUUUAGGAUGAUUCGAUUCAUAACAACGACAGCUAAAGUGGGAGAGAGAGAGAGAGAGAGAGAGAGAGAGAGAGAGAGAGAGAGAGAGAGAGAAAGGGAAAAUUUCUUUCUCUGCAUGUGAUAAUUACAUCCAUGAUUUUAUCACCAAUGAGCUGGUCACUCUGAGGAAUGUUAUAUAAGCAUACACUAAGCUCCUCUUCACUCCAAACCUUUAAAGAACUUGAUUAACUCUUUUCCUAUACAUUGCUCAUCAUCUUCAUCUCCAUUCUCCUCUUCAUUAGUACUCCAAGUCACCAGCCUUGUAACAUUUCAUGGAGAAAGGUUGCUCCAAUAAGAUAGAGAGAGAAGGCUCACAAGGUGAAGGGGAGAUAUGGGUCAAUGAUUCAUCAGUUGAUCACAUGGGGAGAGUUCCUCUCAGAGCCUCAACUGGAGCUUGGAAAGCAGCCCUUUUCAUAAUAGGUAACGUUGAAAACCAGUCAUAAUUUACUACUGUAGCAGAAUUAGGGCUCUUUUGGCCUGAUCGGAGUUAUUUACACAAAUAUUUUUUGAGUAGAGCUAUUCGAAGAAGAUUAUAGGACCUUCGUAGCUUCUUACUAAAGCAAAUGUAGAAGCUUCGGAUUGUGACUUCUGUUUCUGUGUUUGAUUAGUUUCUACUGCCGCAGAAGUUUCACAUUUUUUAGAAUUGUGACUUUUGUUUCUAUGUUUGGUUAUUUUCUACUGCUGCAAAAGUUUCAAACUUUUUACUAGCCAAAUGCCUGGACUUUGGAAUUUUAGUUUUUAAAAUAUAGAACAAAAGCGGUCAAAUAAAAAAUUAUUUCUAUAAUUAUGUAUAAAAAUGUUACGAAGCACACCGCAGCUGCUACUGUAAAUCAUACCAAAGUGCAAAAUACCAAUGAGAUUGAAAAUUGAGAACUUUUGUUGGUGAAGGUAGAUUUCUGCAUGGUUUCUGAAAUGUAAAAAUACAUAAAGUUUUUUUUUAAGUUUGCAUGAAUUUAUCAGUUAUUUCUAAAGUUUUGUUGAAAUAUUCCACUAACUGGUCCUAAUUUUCGAAAUGCUGUGUUGGCGGCAGUGAUCGAGUUUAGUGAGAGGCUGAGCUACUUUGGGCUGGCUACCAACCUGAUCAUAUACCUGACUAGAGUGCUGCACCAGGAGGUCAAGACUGCGGCCAAGAAUGUGAACUAUUGGCAGGGGGUCACCACCCUGAUGCCUCUCUUUGGCGGCUUCAUCGCAGAUGCGUACCUAGGGAGGUUCUCCACUGUUCUUUGCUCUUCCGUCAUCUACAUACUGGUUAGCCCUGCCUCUCUAUUUCAUUUUCAUUUAUAUGUUACGUUAUGCAUUUGUGAGGUGCAGAUUCUCUGUAAAUUUAGUACGUCGAAAACUAUUGUAUAUUGAUGAACUAAGCUAUCCAUCCAUAGUGUGGGGCACAUCCCAACCAUUAAGAGCGAUUUGAUAGCCAGCCAAGAUGUUCUUUUCGUGAAGGGCCAGAUUAACUGUAAAAUUUCCUGUGCGCUGGGUUUAGAUGCUCGACAUGUUGACUAGUAGAUUGAACUCAAGGUUUCAAUAUCUAGUUGGCUCUCUCCAAAUUUCUUGAUGCUCUCAAAAUUUUUCAAUCGAUAACCAAAUCCUUCAUGUGUAAUUUCUGUUUCUUUUUGCAGGGUCUUGUUCUCUUAACCUUGUCGCAACUCGCCCCAAGCCUAAAACCCUGCGACGCCGCAGAGACGUGCCACCGAUCCCUGCACAUCCACUCGACCAUAUUCUUCACGGCCAUGUAUCUGAUCUCCAUCGGCACUGGUGGGCACAAGCCCUCGCUGGAGAGCUUCGGCGCCGACCAGUUCGACGACGACCAUGCGGGCGAGAGGAAGGCGAAGAUGUCUUACUUCAACUGGUGGAACUGCGCCCUGUGCUCUGGCCUAAUGCUCGGCGUCACGCUCAUCGUGUACAUGCAGGAUAAGGUGAGCUGGGGGGCGGCUGCUAUCGUGCUCACCGCGGUGAUGGUGUUUGCGCUUGCAGUGUUUUUGGCAGGAAGGCCGUACUACCGGUACAGAGAGCCCGAGGGUAGCCCGUUGGUGCCGAUGUUGCAGGUUUUGGCUGCGGCGGUGACGAAGAGAGGGCUUGCUCUUCCGGAGGAUGCCGCAGAGAUGUACGAGAUUACGAAGCCGGAGAAGAGUAAGAAGAAACUCCUAAUGCAUACUGAUAAGCUCGGGUGAGAUUUUUUUUUUUUUUUCGAGAAAAAGUUAGCUUGCUAUCUGUUUCUUUCAAUAAGAAUAUAAAUUAGACUAUAUUGGUGAGACAAUGGAGCCUUCUCGAAAAAGAAAUCAAAAAAGGAGAACCCCCACAAUUUAUGCAUUAGGAUACAUCAUCUGCUUUCACCUAUUACAGUAAGCCUCCUAAAGCUUCAAAAGUGGUUGUUUUUUCCUUUAACUUUUAGAGUUCUGCAAAAGAGUGUUCUUUUUGUUUUUGUCUUUUUUUUUUUUCGUUUUAACUCUAGAAGAUUCUUUAGAGAGAGCUUGUCACAUAGAAAAACAAAUCAAGCAUUUUAGAGAGGUUAACGGAUAAUUUUGAUAUUUUUUAGGUGCAAAGAUGAAAUUACUUGUAGAUUGAAGUUUUCUAAAUUAGUUAAAAUUGAAAGACAAAAUUUCUUCAGAUUUCUUGACAAAGCCGCAAUCAUGGAGCACAAGGAAGAUACAACGGCCGCAGCUGAGAAGCCCAACCCGUGGCGGCUUGCAACUGUCACCCAAGUUGAGGAGACGAAGCAGGUCCUCGCCAUGAUCCCCAUCUGGCUCUCCUCCCUUCCCCUCGGCAUUUGCAUCGCGCAAGGCUCCACCUUCUUCAUCAAGCAAGCCAGCAUCAUGGACCGCAAGCUCGUCCGCAGCUUCGAGCUCCCUCCAGCCUUCGUCUACUCCUUUUCCGCCAUCGGCAUGAUUCUCUGCGUCUCCUUCUACGACAAGAUCCUUGUCCCCUUCCUACGCAAAACGACCGGGAACGAGCGGGGGAUAAACAUGCUCCAAAGAAUCGGAAUAGGAAUGCUAUUCUCCGUAGUUGCAAUGGCCACCGCAGCCGUCGUAGAGCAGAAGCGACUCGACGCAGGCGUGGCGGACGCCAUGAGCGUGUUCUGGUUGCUCCCGCAGUUCAUGAUACUUGGUUUCGGCGACGGUUUCGCCUUAGUAGGCUUACAAGAGUACUUCUACGACCAAGUCCCGGAUAGUAUGAGGAGUCUGGGAAUAGCCUUCUAUUUAAGCGUGCUAGGUGCGGCGAGCUUUUUAAGUAGCCUAUUGAUCAUCAUUGUUGAUCAUGUCACGUCCUGGGGCGGCAAAAGCAGAAGCUGGUUUGCGAAGAGCUUAAACGAAAGCCGUUUGGAUCUCUUCUAUUGGCUUUUGGCCGUUAUAAAUGCCGUUAACUUGUGUGGGUAUGUGUAUUUGGCGAGUAGGUACUCGUACAAGAGUGUGAAGAGGAGGGUGAUGGGGAUCUCUAACUCAUCGGAAGAAGAUGAAGAUAUGGAGGAUAAUGUUUCUUGAUCCAAGUAUAAGUUAGCUCUGUGGUAACUGUGGCGCUUAGUAUCGAGUAUAGAUCUUAUGAAAUACGCUAUGUAGUACAUGCGAGUAAUAGCAGCGGCAUGUGGGAAAUAUGUGAGUGGGGCACGCACUAUAUAUAUAUAUAUAUAUAUAUAUAUAUAUAUAUGCAUUGUCUUGCCACUUUAUAGUAAGGAAUGCUUUGUAACAAAUGUUUGUAACAAUUGUCUUGCCACUUUAUAAGUGAUUUACCAGUGCGUUUGCUGGGUGGAUAGAAUUUGGUCCCAAAUUGUGCUUCUAUUUCAAGGACUAAUAAGGAGAAACUUUGGAAACGCCCGACAUAAGUACAAUUUUGGACAACUAAUAUAUAUAUAUUUUUAAUAACCCGAACCUUCUACCUCUCUCUGACAUCCUUGAUCUUUCCUCCAUCUCAUCUUUGGCUAAUUUUAGUCAAAUUACCUGUAAUCCAAUAUCGAUUAUACUCACCAAUGAGGAUUAUAUCUUAAUAAGGAUUAUAUCUUUUGACGCGAUACUGAUGUAGGAUAAGCUCAAAAAUUUUAAUCUAAAAGAAAAAAGAGGGGGAAAAAAAUGAGGGCAGAAAAAUUGAUUUAUAGCCACUAAUUUAUAAAAAGUAUAUAUAUAUUUUUUACUUAAUUCAGGUGUAAUUCCGGUAACUUUAAUAUUUCUAAAAAAAAUAUAAUUACUAAUUAACUAAAAUAUUACAUUAAAUAUAUUAGAGGUUAAGACUUCAGAGAAUAUUAAUGAAAAAAAAAUUGAACUUAGCACUCUAUUUCAAAAUGGCAUAUAUUCUUACUUCUCAACAUUUCUGGUAAAACUGUAUAGAGACCUGCAAAACUAUAGUUAUUUUUGAAAAUGCAACUUUAAUUUUUUUGGUAAGUAUUCUUUAUUUAUUUUUUAUGAGUUUUUACACUUAAUUAAGUUAAAAUUUUUAAUUUAAACUUUUAUUUACUUAUAGCUAAAAUUAUUCAAUUCCAAAAAUCAAAAGUUAAGAACUUCUUAAUAUUAAAAAAAAAAGUUGAGGGGCCAAUUUCUGAAAACUGUGUAGUUGAGGGGUCUCCGUACAUAUUUUCCUACAAAAAAAAGUUGAGGGGACAAGUUUCUGAGAAUUGUGCAGUUGAGGGGUCUCCGUACAUAUUUUCCUACAUUUCUCUCGCCCAAAGCAUCCCUGGCACCGCGUAAUGAGACCAUCUCCUGCGUUUCGCUCUCACCCUCUCCGCCCCAAUCGUCUCACUCGACGAAAUCCUCUGUUUAGGCUGAGACCUCCGGUGCGGACUGACCCCAUAAAACACAAAUUGGUUUCGGUGAGUUCGUCUCCUCUCUUCUUUCUCUCGCUGCUGUUAGAAACCCUAACUUCGAUCGAUCUCUUUGCUAACAAUUUGAGCAUAAGAUUAAAAAAAAUAAUAAUAAAAACAAAACUUCUUGUCGCUUCCUAUUCUUUCUUCUAUAUUAAGAGGGGAAUUCAUGUGAAAAAGGUUUGAGAUUAAACUCAGUUAAUGAGUUUGAUGCAUAUAACAAUGCUACAAGGCAUACUGCAAUAACAAAGGCCUUGAUAGGAAUUAGAGAACAAUAAUUAGUUCAAAAGAUCAACUUUCCAUCAAUUUAUAUUCUCUCUUUCUUUUUUUUAUGAUGAUUUGAAACCAUGGCAUACUAUGAAACCUUAGGAAUGGUAUGCUUUGGCCUCAGAAAACUCCUUUUUUUUUUUUGGUUUCUUCUUUCAAUCUAAAGAUUAAGCUCUAAAUGGUCCCGAUUUGUUCAUUCGUAUAGUGUUUUUUUUUAUUCUGCAAUAAGCAUUGAAUAAUUAAAUUUACUUUGUUCUAGUCUUUUUGAUAUUUAGAACAUUAGUUUAAGAAAUUGAUGCUUUUAGUUGUUAACCUCUGCAUUUGCUUGUAAAUAUAAGAAGUAAAACUCGAGGGGCGAUGAUCUGAAUCCAUGUCAUAUAAACUUAUGAAACUUUUAGAAGAUCUUUGAAGUACAAAUCAAAAAUUAACGUUUGUUGUAGCUCUCUAAUUUGGAGGUAUGAUUUCUUGCUGAUGAGCAGAAUCCUUGUCAGUUACUGCCUUCUUAGUAGGAGCUUUGCGGAGUAGAAGUAUAAGAUCUUUGUGUCACGAACUUAGCGUUUUCGUUCGCAAAGCCCGUGCGGCGCCCACCUUUCUUCGCAGAGAUGGACAAGCCUUUGUCCCUGUUGUUAGCCCGGAUCUUCGCAUCCUACGACUAAAUAUGCAAAGGGAAAAAACAAAAGAAAGAGGCAGAGAUUCUCUCAAAAAGCUAAGUACUCCACUACUUAGAAAAAGAGAUUACAGUAUACAAACACAUCAUCUCUUGUGUGUUUUGGCCUUAGCCAACCCCACUAUUUAUAGGCUCCUAGGUACAUUAAAUCUAGCCCUCAACACACCCACUAACUCAUACAUAAUGAGCCCUCAUAAUAGCUAAAGGCUCAAGAGUCACACCAUAACUCAUGACAGUUUUGCAAUCCUUGAGUUUCUCACAGCGGGUUGGGUUUGGGUCUCCUUGACAAUCCGAUUCAACCCGUUUUUGCUAGUAGAGUUGGGCCAGGGACCGGGCUGCCACAGAAUUUUCUAAGUCCCUGACAUUUGGCUUCCUUUACAUUCUCAAAUUUCUAUAAUGUUAUGCUUGGGAUUUCCGGUGAUACUUCUUAUGCUACAAAGACGCUUUUCUUGUCUUCAUCAUGCUUGAUCUAUUCAUUCCUUGUUUUCGUUUCUUAACUGUGCAUAUAUCUACAUUUAUGUUGCAUAUCAAAUUAUCAGGCAAUUAGAAUCUGCUAUGACCAGUGUCCAUGCACUCGUAAACAAUAGUUUAGUAGGAAGAGAAGAGUAUGGGGCAAAUAUGUGUAGAAAGAGUGAAAUUUGUUGUCUUUUAUGGUCCGUUUGGUGUUGAGGGUGAUCUAAUGCUAUUGGGAACAACGGAGUUUUUGGCAAAAGCAUAUAGAAAUAUGUUUCUCAUUUUUCGGUGGGACGGCAGAGAAUACGUCGCAAUUGAGACAUUGUAAUGUUCACAACAUGUACAUGUGGUAACAAACGAGACAUAACACAACCUUUCCACAAUUCCAGAAGGAGAUAUGUACCCUACGAUCGCUCAGAUUUGAGCUAUUUAUUCCUUACCUUCUUUUUUUGUUUAAUUGAAGUUAUAUGUUUGUCAUAUCUCUUCUAUCACAUUGAACUGUCGAAAUGUGAAUCGAUAAAUAGAAAUAGCUCCUUGAAGAACUUCAACUUGUAAAAUUAAGAAGGUUAGAGAACCUUUACUGGAGGUGAACUGAUUGCUAUAAAAAAAAGGACAGACUCAUUAGCAGUAAUUGCCCUUCUGCUUUUUCUACUACUUAGUAGCUUGAGGCCAUUUGCAAGGCCAAACAGCAAUAACUUGUUCUCUAAUAAUGUGCUUAUCGUAUUAUUGGCAAAGAUUUCUACUUACAAAAGAAUGGAAUGGUAAACCAUAAACACAUACUAAUUUACAAAGAAUUGUACUUUUCAGAAGGGAGUCGUAAGUAAAUAAAGCGAUGGAAGGAUCAUCGCCGGAAGAAGGUUCCGGUGCCAACAACUCGCCGCUUGUGACGAAACUAAGGAAACUGCUAUUCCGGCGGAUGCUGGUAGGGGUGGAGGACGGCCGCUUCUUUCUCGGCUUAUUCCACUGCAUUGACAAACAAGGUAAUAUUAUCCUCCAGGAUGCGAUCGAGUACCGCAGCACCCGCCGCUCCGGCCCGUCCUCCUGGGAGCAGCGCGGCCUCGGGCUUAUCCUCAUCCCCGCCACAUGUCGUUGCUCCUGCCACGUUGACUGCUCCAUAGAGGAGCAGAUGUCCCUCUUGUCCAUAGACAAAUGAAACCUACUUGAAGAGAUUCAAAGUUCCCUGUGUCAUAUUCUGGUUUUGGUCUCUUUGAGACUCUGUGGCUUAUGCUUGUUGCUGCAGAGAUUUUUAUUUCGCUGUGAAGAGAGGUAUUCACUCUUUCUUCUUUUGGAAAGGAAGAAAAAGAAAGUUGCUCUGCACUCUGAUUCUGAGAAACUACGGUGGCUUGGUCAUUUUUGAGUAAAAUAAGUGGUUUUCCUUUUUCUGUUUUUCGGAUUGCAGCUUAGGAUUUGUGUUAGAUAAUCACCCUUUUGAAUGACUCUGUGUAUGAAGGGGCUAAACCUGGAAUGGUGUCGUCAAGGAGCGGCACCGCUGUUCAGUAAUAAGAUCAAACAAGGGGCAGGUGUGUGGCUAUCUAGCUUGCAUGUAAGAUGUUUGUAGAAAUGACAAAUCACAAUAUAUGGGUUGAUUCUCAUUCUUCCUGCUGCAUUAAUGUAUUUCAUCACACAACCAAUCAAAUUGCUGUCCAAGAACAUGUCCACCCAUUUAAUUUUAUAUAUAUAUAUAUAUAUUACUCCAAUAAAUUCAACUCUAAUGCUUUAGAGAUGUACAAAAGGAAUUUGAUACAUUAUCCAAAACCGGCAAAUUCUAUAUUUAUCAUACAAGGCCACCAAUAAAAAUUAUACCAAGUCAGCCGGCCCACUUAGCCGAGCACUAUUCUAAAGCACAAGCUGAACCUACUCGGCCACGCUGGGGCACGUCCUGGUUCACUGCAAACACCAUAUAGGACCCUGGCGGCACCACCCUCCCAUUGGGAGGCGCCGUACACCUUAUAUGGUAGCUGUACGGUGCCACUGCGCCGCCGCCAACCCCUAUCGCCACUGCAGGUCUGACCAUCCUAUGCCCCUGCGAGAACGAGUGUGGCGCGAAAGGCACGCUCGGCAUGCUCACCUCCACCGUCCCCACCACCGGCAUAGCUGCUGCCACUACCUGCACCAUAAAUGCUACCCCGUACACCACCGGGUUCAGCCCCGUCGACGUGCUCUUGGUCGAAGAGGAACGAGCAUGAAGGAGAGAGAUAGGAGAGAGACUCAUGUUAUGUUAUGCUAGAAAUUAGAAGAGAGCCCAACAAUGAAGCAAAACUAGUUCUUAGUGUUAAAGCAGAAAAAGAACAACGAAUACUGCCUACUAAUAUAAUAGUUUAAAUUAAAUAUACGGGAAAAGAAAAGGAAAACUCGUCCUGUUCUCCAACCAACUCGAAUCACGUACGUGACGUACGUCGGAUUCAAUCGCUCUUAUUAUCCAAAAGUAAGAUUUUAUUCGUAAGAAAUCCGGGCCUCAAUUUAACAAACACGGCCCAAAUAUAAAACUUUUCUCGACGGCCCAAUUGGAUUCAGGCCCGAUCUAACAGGUCUUUAGAUUUACAUCCGACAAAUCUAUUUUUAUUUUUAUUUUUUAAUCUCUCACUGAGAGUCUGAGAUACCGAAUGCACCCCACGACAAAGUGACAAACAGAUGGCCACCCGAACCCAUAACCCGAAGUUCUUUUUUAAAAUAAAUAAAUAAUCCCAGAAAAUAAUAAAGCCACCCUGGCUCCAGUGGAGUCUUGUCCUUGUCCGGUCCCUGUGGUAGGUAGUGGUACCAAUUUGGAUCGCAUUUCGGCGAUGGCGGCGGGGGGGCAGGGGAUGGAUCCGGCGGUGGUGGACGACGUAAUCGGGAGGCUGGUGGAGGUGCGGUCUGGCAGGACCGGCAAGCAGGCCCAGCUGUCCGAGUCGGAGAUCCGCCAGCUCUGCCUCGCCUCCCGCGACAUCUUCCUCGCCCAGCCCAACCUCCUCGAGCUCCAGGCCCCCCUCAAGAUCUGCGGUUAGCUCUCACCAACCACCUCCUCCCCCCCCUAUCUCUCUCUCUUCUCCUUUUUUAUUCUCUCGUGAUUGAGUUUUUACGAUCUGUUAGAUAAAUUUAAGGGGAAGUUGUUGGUUUGGGGGACUAGGAAUUUGGAAUCAGAAACCGAAAAAAGGGAAAAAAAAAGAAGAAGAAGAAGAAGUUGAAAGUUAGUUGAUUUAGUUUUCUGAUCGUAAGCAUUGAGAAAAAACACACACAAAAAAAGAGAGGCUUUUUUUAUAAUUUAUGUGCCUCGUGUGUAUAUUCUGUUAGAUUUAUUUAUGUUAGUGAGGAUCAUAUGCUGAAAGGGUAGUUGUAACAAGCAUUUUUUGUUAUCAUUCGACGGAAAAGGGCAUUCCUUGUUGAGUUUGGUAUGCUGAAAGAAAUGCUAACAAGCGAAAUUGCAGGGCAUGUAGAAUCUUUGUUAAAGUGGAAAUUAUACAAAUUGUUGAAGUCGAGAAGCACUUCGAUGUAUCGUGUUUUCAUCGCAUUAUUUUAAUGCUGCAAGACAAUGUAGAAUGGCUCUUGGCGAUCGGUCUUUAUGCGACUGAAUGGAAGUUAGAAAACAUCAUAAAAAUGUGUACUGUUUGGAACAUUGCGGUUCCAUUCAAAUAAUUGAUAAGAAACAAUCAUUCUCGUGCAAAUUUGGGCUAGAGCUAGUUGAGAUUAAUUGAGUAGAAACGAUGUUUCAAAUUUGUAGUAGGUGUAAGCCUUUUCGCUACAGUUUGGAUGGUUAAGUUUGCAAAUUUUUGUGAUUUCGGCCAUGUUUGGAUGCAUCAGCAAUCUUAUUCAGGAUAUCUCUUUGAUUUGUGCAAGAAGUAUGUAGUAUUUGGUAAAUGAGUGGUGUGAUCACAUGUCUAGAAUGAAUACCAUAUUCAGCGUUUAAGUUAUUUUAUAAGAAUAAGAAAAAUCAUUUCGUGGGUGAAAUAUGUUAUGCUACUAAAUCGUGAUGACAAUGCAUUUCAAGGAGCAAAAAAUCAAGCUUCUAGAUUCUAAUCACUUAAGAAAAUCUUCAUACAAAAUAGGUUGUCAUUGAAUAUCCUAUUCCGACAUCCAAACAGAGCCAGUUGAUCUUUGUUUGUUACUCAUAAAGAGACAGAUGUCUUGACCCAUAUGUGAUCUUACGACUUGGGAUUGGGCAAAUGUGCAUAAUUCUAUCCUCGCAUGCCGAGAGACUAUUUCUCACUAUCUGAACUCAUGAGUUGACCUUUUGUUCUUCUCUAACAGCCCUUUGUAUUCACUGCUUCAGAGAAGCUUUCACAUUCCUUGAAGUGGUACAAUUAUAAUAUGCAAUGUUUUCCUUGGUUAUUUUCAGUAUGAAGACGGGUAGUGUUUUGGAAGAAUUUAUUCUUAUCACAUUGUCUGCUUUGUCAUAAUCAGAUUGGUUAGUAGUAUUCGCUAUGAAUUCCUGAGUACUUCUUUUAUUAGUGCAUACAAGGAUAUAAUUGGGCUUUGCAAAUUAUUUCCAUGCUAUGACAUUUUGAAUGCAUUGGUUGGUCAGCCACCAAAUUUUUCGGCUUAAUAAGAAAAAGUUUUCUUUUUUUUUUUUUUUAAUAUACAUUCUGACUAUCAUCAUCUAUACUUUGUUAGUUGUCCCAACAUUUUAUUACUUUUCAGGUGAUAUUCAUGGCCAGUACAGUGACCUGUUAAGGUUGUUCGAAUAUGGGGGUUUCCCACCUGAAGCCAAUUAUUUGUUCUUAGGCGAUUAUGUAGAUCGGGGAAAGCAAAGCUUAGAAACAAUAUGUCUACUUCUUGCAUACAAAAUCAAGUACCCAGAGAACUUUUUCCUUUUGAGGGGAAAUCAUGAAUGUGCUUCAAUAAAUAGAAUAUAUGGAUUUUAUGAUGAAUGUAAGCGGCGAUUUAAUGUGAAACUGUGGAAAAUCUUCACCGAUUGCUUUAACUGUCUCCCUGUUGCUGCCCUAAUUGACGAUAAAAUCCUAUGCAUGCAUGGCGGCCUUUCUCCUGAUUUAUCUAACUUGGAUCAAAUAAAGACUUUGACUAGACCAACUGAUGUACCGGACACGGGUUUAUUAUGCGAUUUGCUUUGGUCAGAUCCUGGUAGAGACAUUCAUGGUUGGGGAAUGAAUGAUAGAGGAGUUUCUUACACUUUCGGCGCAGAUAAAGUCUCCGAAUUUCUGUCAAAGCAUGAUCUUGAUCUUGUUUGUCGCGCACACCAGGUUAGAAGAUAUAGUUUCUUUACUUCAUAUUCCUACAAAAUCAUCUAUUUACAUGUAUACCCAUACAAAAUCUGAAUUUUCAGACAUACCCCUUGUAAAAUGCAGUUCAUUAUGGAUUGCCUUAUCUUAAGUUGGGGCACCAUCAAAUUCAUGAGUGGUGUUCAUUUUUGUGGAAAAUGCUGUUGAAGAGCGUCAGUUUUGUUACUAUAAGGUUUAUGUAUGAGAAGAAUUUUGGAAUGGCUUAUAUGAAAGUUCAGAUUUUGCAGGGAUAUGUCUGUAAAUAGAUAAUUUGCACGGUUAUAUAUGUUAGUAUAUAUACUACGUUUUGUAUUUUUAAUUUUUUCUUUAAAUAUAUUCAGGUAUUUAUGUAAUUGCAGGUUGUGGAGGAUGGUUAUGAAUUUUUUGCUGAUAGGCAACUAGUAACAAUAUUUUCAGCUCCUAAUUACUGUGGUGAAUUUGAUAAUGCCGGUGCAAUGAUGAGUGUUGACGAAACUUUGAUGUGCUCUUUCCAAAUUCUCAAGCCUGCCGAGAAGAAGCCAAAAUUUGGCAUGUCAACAAGAAUAUGACAGUGAAGGCACCUGAUUUUGUAUUGCCGGUAUGUUACACAUGUAUACAUCUUUUGGCCAUCUGUUAAUGUAGUUAACACCUUUUCUGUGAGAAUAUUAGUAUUUGUACGGUGCUUAUGUCAAUGUCAUGAUUCAAAAAUCUAGAUGGAAUAUUUGUUUCACCUCGUCUGUUAUGUGCUGGCCUUCACAAGCACACUUAUAAAGAGAAGUAAGCGACAUGUUAGUGGACUAAAAUUUUCCUAACACACGAAUUUCAUCCAUAUUACUUUACAAAGUCUUUCUGUUAUCAUGCUUGAUGGUCUGUGUUUGCUUAUUUUCAACUAUGUUUUGCAUAUCAAGUUAUAUAUAUUGUUCCAUAGAACUGAAGGCAGUAAAGAUGUGAGAGCAAGACAGAGUUGAUGCAGUUCUCGAGCUUGCCUCCUUCUAUUGAGCAGAAUCAAACUACUGCUGACCUCAAACUCCAGCUCCAAAUCCUGGAUCCAAGCUGGAUUUACUAAUUAUCUUAGCGGCAAGAUCUCCUGAACAGUAUGAUCCUAUUAAAAAACUCAAUAUGCAUGUUAGUGUUCACAGAAGUUUUGCAAUGUUGGAGUAUGCUGCUUGAGAUGAUUUUGUUCUAGAACAAAACCAAGGUCAAGGUGGCCUUUUCUGAGCAAAAUGCGAGGUAUUCAUGAACAGUUGGUUCUUUCACAACCCUAGGUGAAACAUGUGGCGUUAAACAGACAACAUGUAUUAGUAGAAAUUUAUUUUAAUUGAUAAAAGUACACAGAUGUUAUUUUGACCACAUAACACCACGGUUGUUUGAUUUCAGAAAUCAACUGUCAGAAUCAACCAUUCCUGUCAAAAAGUUAAAAAAUGUUAUGUCUGGUAAUUUACAUAAAAUUUAGAGAGUUAUCAUAAUCAAAUGGUCAGGUCAAAAGCUACUGAAGUGCAGGUAACCAUUUCGAAAUGCUCUAUGAUUCAGGUAUGUUCUGUACCUUUUUUGUGACUAUUAUGAUUUAGCUAAGGAUAGUACCUUGUAACAGCAAACUUCAAUUACAAUAGUGACUCACAAGACUAGAAGAAAAUUUUUACCAUUUUAGACACCACAUAAUAAUCACAUAAGGCAUGAUUUUACUGCUUCCAAAUCUUGCAUUUUUCUCAUCCUUUCUCCAGUUUUUGCGCGCCUUUCUGAAAGAAAAUUUUCUUUUGUCAGGCUGCUAUAUAAUUUUACACCCGAAGACAACAUGCAUGCAGAGGUUUGCGAACUGCAGAAUUUUACAUCAAAUGAGGUGUCAUCAGCGAACGAAGUAAUUUCGCUUCGGCGACCCUAAAGGGAUAUCGAGAGCAAUUCAUUUUCGGAUAGCAAAUGAUUUAGUUUUUCUUUUUCCCUUUUGCUUUUUCGAACUGUGCUGCAGCCUGCAUGUGUAUAUACUUAUCCUGUGCAUUUUGUUUCGUUGGAGUAAUGCUGCAACCUCAUAAAUGUUUCUGAAAAUACAGUUGAUAAGUCAACUUUCCAUAUUCGUAAGCUCAUUGUUGGUCGCCUUUUCAUACUCGAUAUCUACUGCAGGUAUCGUGCCAGAUAUCGGAGAAGCUAAAUCACUAGCGAAUCACUGCAUUAGGUUUUCUGAUUUAUCAACUGCAUUCUUAUCUUCUAAGACUCAAAAAGCUUCACUCUUUUGUUGACUAGAAAAACCUAUCAGUCCAAGAUAAAGAUCAUCAUGGAUAGGAUAACGAAAAGCCCAUAUUUGGAUCAUCUAAACAUUAUUGUACCAUGCCGUUUGCUAUGAAGCUUGUAUUCUGUUUCCGGAUGUUAAACAUGACAACUUUUGAAAGGUUUGGAUAUGGUUAUUUUAAUGUGCUGAUAUUUUGAUGAUACAAGAGUAUAGGAUUGGUUGUGAAUGAGAAUUUCAUCUUGCUUGAGUUUGGUUGAAAAGAUGUACAAAUCAUAUUUAUUAAUUAUUAAAUUGCCUAUUCUUGAGUUAUGUCCAUGGUGUAAUCGUAACUAUCAAGGUCCCAUAAGGCAAUAACACUCCUCAUGGUGUAAGCGUAACUAUCAAGGUCCCAUAAAACACUCCUAGUGGGCAGAUGAGAUGGAUUGAACAUUUACUUUAUUAGUGGUGAUUGUUGAAACAUAAACAUGUGACUAAAAUACGGGUCUUUGAAUGAUGAAAUUAAUCUUCAGUGCUCCAUUUUAUUUUAUACAUGAAGAAUCAUUCUGAGCUUGGGAAUACGGCAUUAGAAAAUGACUCGAGCCUAGUGAUUUCCAUGGUCAUUGCGCGCGUUAAACAAAGCUAUCAUCUCAGUAGAGAAUGGUAGUAUCUAAUUGAUUACGUGAAUGACGUAUGAAUUCAACUCUCUUAUUCAAAAAAAAAAAAGAAAAAGAAAAAGAAAAAGAAAAGUUGAUAUUAUAUUUUUUUUAAAUAAUUCAAAAGGAUGCUCACUAACAGACUUUUAUGAAAGAAGACUAAAUAGAAAAGAGGAAAAAGUUGAAUAUUUUUAAGAUUAUAUGAAAAUUCAAUAAUUUGAAAACCUGGUCAAUAAGACCGGUUUGAUCGUGAUUGAGUGUAUAAAGUGAUUUGAUACAAUCUUUUAAAUCGGAUAAGUAAAAAAGUCACUUUGAACCAUUUGAACCAAUGAGCUGGUCCAAUCUUAUUUAAACCGGCCGGAUUUUUUGAUCAAAUUAUACUAAAAUUCAACAACUUAAAAUCAACUUAAUUAGCUGAUUUUAUUUUCUGCUAGCAUAAAUUAAUUUUCUAAAAAGUAAAAAUUUGAAAACUUAUAUUUACUUAAUUUGGUCUAAAAAUUAAAAUUUUAUAAUUAAGUAUGAUACAAAAAUAAUAAUUUGUGUAUAUUUUUUAUAUAAUAAAAUUAAAAGUAAUAACUAAAUAAUUAUGAUGUCUUGCUGGCCACCAUCGUCUAUUAACAGUCAAUUAUAUCUCUUCUUUCGAGUAAAAGGUAUAAUAAAAAUAUUUUUUAUUAAUUAUGAUGGGACGGGUGAAUUCAAGAAAAAUAAUCUGAUUACUCGAUGAUGUCAUAUCAAUAAUAUAACUAAUACAUUUUAGAUUCUUUUCCUCACGAAGCCAAGAAAAAAAAGACAAUGCAAUUAUAAAGUGGGGCGAUACAAUUUUUUAAACUAAAUAAGUAAAAAAUCACUUUGAAACAUUUGAACCGAUGAACUGGUCCAAUUUUUAUUAAACCAACCAAACUUUUUGAUCAAAUUGUAUUAAAAUUCAAUGGCUUAAAAUCUACUCAGUUGAUUUUAUUUUCUAUUAGCAUAGAUUAAUUUUAUAAAAAAUAAAAUUUGAAAAUUUAUAUUUACUUAAUUUGGUCUAAAAAUUAAACUUUUAUAAUUAAGUAUGAUAAAAAAUAAUAAUAUAUGAUUAUUUUUUAUAUAAUAAAAUUGGGAAGUGUCGCUUGUUGGGGAGCAAAGCCUCCAUUAUAACUUUAGUGCUUGGACAGCUUGCAAAUAAAUGAUCAGCUUUUCGGUAAUUCCAAACAAAAAACACAAUUUUCCUCUCCACUCCAUCCCCUUUUUAAUAGAAUAUCUUUAGUAGGUAAUUUUCUCUUCAAAAGUAGUCAACUAAAGAUCUUUACUUUUAGGGAGGGCUCGAACCUUCCAUAUAUGAUAAAAGCUCUUAUUUCGAACACUGCUAUCAUGUAGGAAGACGUACAUCGACUUGACUGAGAACUUUUCCGACCUAUCCCAUCUCCACUUUACCGUAUCCGGUCUGUUUGGUGUCAGUGACUCCAAAAAAGUCUCUUUAAAUUUCAGCAUCAAAUCUGUGUCUUGCGGGACGGAAGGAAAAAUCUCAGACAGUAUCUUACUCCAGUUCCAUCUGUUCCUUCCCCAACACUCCACUACCAUGAGAUUCUUUCUCACUGCCAUAUCGUAGAUUCGGGAGAAUACAGUUCUCAAGGAAGCGUGAUCAUUUCAAAUGUCCGUCCACAACCUAACUAAUUGCCUAUUGCCAACAAAGUAAGAUACGUACACUAUAUUUAAAAAUUCCUGUGCUUUUAAUACGCUCCUCCAUCAAACAGAAUGCGGUCUGAAGGACACUCCUUCUUUAAGCGGUAUCCUUCUUGUGUAAUAAAUAUCUUUUAGUAAAGGCCCCCAAAUAUGGUUUCUAUCAGUAAAGAACCUUCAUCAUCAUUUAGCUUGUAGGGCUAAAUUCAUGUUAUUUAAAUUUAGCACUCAUAGUCCUCCCUCUUUUUGGUUUUAGCAAAUUACCUUCCACCGAACCAAACAGUGACCACCUACUACAUAUCCUUCUCCUCGCCAAAAAAACGCCCUCCUUAAAGCUUCUAUCCGGUAAGUAACCCAUUUAGGUGCCCUAAAAAUCGAGAAAAAGUAAAGUGGCAAAUUCGCCAAUACCGAGUUGACUAGCACCAACCUCCCUCCUCGAGAUAGGAGUUUCGUUUGCCACCAUUCAACUUUUUUCGCUACUUUAUCUAUUAGUUAUGAUGUAAUGCUGACCACUCAAAGGCUUGAAAGAUUACGCAAUUUUUAUAUAAAUUAUGGUAUGCAAGGAAAAGAUUUUGUGGAUAAACGUCUCGUCUCAUCAACAAACAUAUAGGCACAUGUUUCAACAUGUUACAAUUCGUAAGGGUAAUAUGGAAAAAUAAAUACAAGCCAAUUACCAAAUUUGUUCAACCCUACACAAUUAUUUGUUUCCUUGUUAAUUUUGUUACUUACCAAAUUAGAUAGUGCUAAUUUGAUAAGUAAUAAAUCUUUAUAAAAUUGAAUUUAAAAAUCAAUUUGAGCUUAAUUGUGUAAAGGGUAAUUCUGUGCGGGCUUCACUUUCCAUCGGAGUGAAGUCGACGAUCUACGCAUCGUCUGGAUUACUUGCCGAUUCCUCCCUAAGAUUUCGACGCCAUCAAUGUCGGCAAUGGACAUGGAUUUUUCUCUCAACAAAAAAAAAAAAGAAAAAGAAAAAUAGCUUCGGAGAAGAUGAUUGUGGCCUGGGUGAAAACUUUCCAUCAGAGUAAAUGAGAUAUUUUACAAAGAUGGUAUGUUAUGAGAGUGAAAAUUUACCAAAAUGCUCUCAUUGCAAAGGAAAUUUUUUUUGCCCUUGUUAAAAAGGUGACCGGUACCGAUGGCAUCAAGUACCUGUCACCCUCUUUUAAAAGAUGUAGAGCAAUACUCCUAUACACCAAAAAGAUCUUGAUCCUUAAAAUUUUUUAAAUGAAUGGUGAAAAUUUUUUUUAGUUAAGAGGGUGGCUGGCUUUUGUUGUCUUAGGUACCAGUCACCCUCCUACCAAGGACAAACUAUUUCUCAUAUAUAAAAUUAGUAUAAAGGGCUCUUUUAUAAAUUUUUAUUUUCUUUUCCAUAAUGCCCCUCUAGUAAUUAUAAAAUAUUUCAUUCAAUUUUUGGAAAGUUUUCACUGACAGUCAUCUUCUCCGAAGCUUUUUUUUUUUUUGUUGAGAAAGAAAUCCAUGUCCAUUUUUAAGUCAUAAAUCAUUUAAAUUUCCCAUCGACAAAUUCCUCUUUCUCUUCUAUCUACACUUAAAAUUUUUAAGUCAUAGAUCAUUUUUUCCAACUUCCUCUUCCAUCUUUUAAAUUUCCCAUUGACGGCAACUCAUCUUCCUCUAAACCCAUUUCUCUUUUUUUUUUGGGUUGAGAGAGAAGCCUUUAAUUUAAAUAACAAAUAAAAGUUAUGCUUAUAAAUACAGCAUAAUUUACAAUUUAAAAUAAAUUAAUAUAUUUGAAAUUUCAUGUAAUUUUAAUAUCAAAUUAACAAUUUGAAUUGAAAUAUACUAUUCAUUUAAACAUAAAUUUUUCAUUCUAAAAAUUAAAAUUAAAAUUAAAAUUGAAUUUAAUAUACACAAUUAUAAUGUUUAAGCUCAAAUUGAUUUUUAAAUUCAAUUUUAUAAAGGUUUAUUACUUAUCAAAUUAGCACUAUUUAAUUUGGUAAGUAACAAUAUUAAAUAAGGAAACAAAUAUUUGUGUAGGGUUAAUCAAAUUUAGUAAUUAGCUUGUAUUUGUUUUUCUAUAUUUGUGCUAAUUAUCAAAUUAGCACUAUUUAAUUUGGUAAGUAACAAUAUUAAAUAAGGAAACAAAUAUUUGUGUAGGGUUAAUCAAAUUUAGUAAUUAGCUUGUAUUUGUUUUUCUAUAUUUGUGCUAAUUAUCAAAUUAGCACUAUUUAAUUUGGUAAGUAACAAUAUUAAAUAAGGAAACAAAUAUUUGUGUAGGGUUAAUCAAAUUUAGUAAUUAGCUUGUAUUUGUUUUUCUAUAUUUGUGCUAAUUAUCAAAUUAGCACUAUUUAAUUUGGUAAGUAACAAUAUUAAAUAAGGAAACAAAUAUUUGUGUAGGGUUAAUCAAAUUUAGUAAUUAGCUUGUAUUUGUUUUUCUAUAUUUGUGCUAAUUAUCAAAUUAGCACUAUUUAAUUUGGUAAGUAACAAUAUUAAAUAAGGAAACAAAUAUUUGUGUAGGGUUAAUCAAAUUUAGUAAUUAGCUUGUAUUUGUUUUUCUAUAUUUGUGCUAAUUAUCAAAUUAGCACUAUUUAAUUUGGUAAGUAACAAUAUAUUAAAUAAGGAAACAAAUAUUUGUGUAGGGUUAAUCAAAUUUAGUAAUUAGCUUGUAUUUGUUUUUCUAUAUUUGUGCUAAUUAUCAAAUUAGCACUAUUUAAUUUGGUAAGUAACAAAUAUUAAAUAAGGAAACAAAUAUUUGUGUAGGGUUAAUCAAAUUUAGUAAUUAGCUUGUAUUUGUUUUUCUAUAUUUGUGCUAAUUAUCAAAUUAGCACUAUUUAAUUUGGUAAGUAACAAUAUAUUAAAUAAGGAAACAAAUAUUUGUGUAGGAUUAAUCAAAUUUAGUAAUUAGCUUGUGUUUGUUUUUCUAUAUUUGUGCUAAUUAUCAAAUUAGCACUAUUUAAUUUGGUAAGUAAUAAUAUUAAAUAAGGAAACAAAUAUUUGUGUAGAAUUAAUCAAAUUUAGUAAUUAGCUUGUAUUUGUUUUUCCAUAUUAUCCUUACGAAUGGUAACCUGUUGAGCAGGUGACCACUAUGCAAAAGACAAUUUCGCAUCUAAAAUAUGAACAGCUAGAUUUAAUCUAGUCGGUGUAUUGAAAUAUUCCUCAAAGAUGUAUCAUUACCGUCUAUUUAAAAAAUUUUAAAGGUUAACAUUUGUUUGGUGCAUAGGAGUGUCCCAAAUAGAGAUGUCAACGGGUCGGAUUCGGGGCGGAUUUUUAAAAACCCGAACCCGAACCCGACUCCAAACCCGAGACCCGAACCCGAACCCGAACCCGACGGAUUUUAAAAAUCCAUAUCCAAACCCGAACCCGACCAAAAAUCCGAAACCCGAACCCGAACCCGAACCCGAAAAUUUGAACCCGAAACAAUUAUUUCUUUUUUCAAUAUUUCAAAAUAUAUUAUAUUAAAUUUAAAAUUUUAAAAUACAAAUUCAAAUAUAACAUCAAAUUUUUAUAUAUAUAUAUUAUAUAUAAUACAAAAUAAAUUCGGAUUCGGGUCGGGUUCGGGUUCGGGUCGGAUACAAUCAAAAUCCAUAUCCGAAUCCAUAUCCGUCGGGUUUUUAUUUUUUAUAUCCAUAUCCAAAUUCAUAUCCAUAUCCAUCGGAUAUAUCUGUUUCAUUCGGGUUCGGGUUCGGAUAAAAUUUCGGGUAUCCAUACCCAUUGACAUCCCUAGUCCCAAAUAAUCGCGGCCAAAGGAUGUGACACCCGUCAUCAUCGAGAAACAUCAUUCAUUUUACUCGAUCACCCCAUUUAACCACAAUUAAUCUCAUGUUAAUUACCUCCCAAAUCCUUGCAGUAAAAAGUAAUUAACCCCCCCUUCUCGCUCCAUGUAUAAAUGGAGGAUGUAGCUAGCCAUGUCAAGGCAAUAAGUACUAUAUAUCACUACUGUUUGAGCUAGCUCACGCCACAAUGUCUCCGCAGCUCUCCGUCGUCGUCGUCGGCCUCCUCGUUUCCUCGGCCGUUUUCGGCUUCUGUAGCGCGAGAUAUAUCCUCUACACAGACGAUAUACUCGUCGGAGGCCAAUCCCUCACCAACGGGAAAUUCAAAUUCACCAUGCAGAGGGACUGCAACCUGGUGCUGUCUGACGACUCCGCGUCUGCCAUCUGGGAGUCGGAGACGAAUGGCCAGGGGACGAGCUGCUAUGUCAAGAUGCAGUCGGACGGCAACCUCGUCAUCUACGACAAUCACGAGGCCAAGUGGGCCUCCGGCAACGUGGGAAUGGAAAGCAGCUACGUCUGCAUUCUCCAGCGCGACCGCCAGGUCGUCGUCUACGGCCCCCAGCUCUGGUCCACCGCGCGUGCCGCCGAUACUCCCGGGGUCCUCAUAUCUGCGAACUCCACCGACACUGCCACGCGCAAGGAAUCGAACGCUACUCCGGAUAUGGCCAUCGUUAUUAAUAACUAGUGGUGCAAGAGGAAGCUUUUGUUUUCAGAAUAUAUAUAUAUAUAUAUAUAUAUAUAUAUAUAUACUUGCUUAUCAAAAUACUUUGUAUUUGGUGGGGAAUUUGUCAUACAACUCAAGGGCUAGUUUGGUUUUCAAAUAGAAAAUUGUUUGGGCAUAUGUUAACGAAGAUUUAGAGAGUAUAUAUGUAAAACAAAAGGAAUUAAAGAAAUUAAAAGAUAAGAUUUUUUUUUGCCUUAAACUAAAAAGUUUAUUUGGGGUUAUCAAAAAAGGAAUUGGUAUUACCAAAGUAAAUUUUACUAUCAUUACAUUAAAAGAAUUCAAAUUUUGGCUAGAUUGGAUAUGUCUAUCACGAUAUCAAAACUUGUUUGGACAAUAUCAACUCUUUGUGACAAAAAUGGGAAAGAAGGUUUUGGCCUCCAAGAGAGCUGACGAGUGGUCGUGUCCAGAUUGUAUUGGGCUCAUGCACAGAUUCGUCGUGUGUAACGUACUUGGUCUGAUGUUGGGUCGCAUUGAGUCCAAAAGUCCAUUGGACUUAACUGGGCUAAGCUAGAUGUAGUGGACUUUUCCAAAGCCCAAACUUAGUUCCCUCGAUGAAUCUAAUUUUGUACUCUUUUUAUUUGAUACGUAAAUGUUUCUAUGGUACUAAUAGAAAUGUGCAUGCAACAAGCCUUUUAUAAAAUUAAAAAAUAAUAAUAAUAAAAUUUAAGAAAGAUAGCUUUAAUUAUUAGUGAAUUUUUUUAAAAAAAUAUUUGAUUAUAAUCAUCCAAUUUGAUAGAAAAACAGAAAAGAUUUGAUUACCAUCCCUGCCGGCAUGACCUGGACAGAGCUUAAGGGCCAAGCUGGGCCUCUCCUUUCAGCCCCGACGGCCUGACCCGAUAUGGCCCGAAACCGGCCUGGGCUGCAUGACAUAACCUGCUUGGACCAUGCGAGUUGGGCCAGCAAAGGCCUUGGGGUAGGAUCUUCGGUGAGAAGGGCCAGCCCUUCUCCCCGGGAGAUUUCCUCCUAGACCUUGGGAGGAAGUUUUUGGUCCAACGCUUAAUUUUUUUUUCAAAAAAAUUAAAAAAUUAUAUAUAUAUAUAUAUAUAUAUAUAUAUAUAUAUAUAUAAAUAUAUAUAUAUAUAUUAUUAUUAUAUUAUAUGUAAUUAUUUUUAAACUUUUAAAUUUUAAUAAAAAAAUAAUUUAUUUAUAUUUUAAUAUUUAUAUAUAUUUUUUUAAAAAAAUAAAACAAAAUAAAACCUUUAUUAUGGCUAGCCAGAAGCACGGCCAGGCUCCAACGCUCCGAGUUCUUCCAGCGGAAGGUGUUGUGUUCGCCAAGAUGGAUACUCCAGGCUCGGCACGACCCCGCCGAAUUUGGAAACCGGCCGGGCGGCCUCUAGCCCUACUUGGCAACGAAAAAUGUGGGCCGCGAGCCACAUUACACCCAUUUUGUACCAUGCCGUUUUCAGAUGUUAAACAUAACAAUUUUUGAAAGGUUGGAUACAGUUAUUUUAAUGUGCUGAUAUGUUGAUGAUACAGAGUGUAGGAUUGGUUGUGAAUGAGAAUUUCAUCUUGCUUGAGUUUGGUUGAAAAGAUUUACAAAUUGUAUUUAUUAAUUAUUAAAUUGUCUACUCUUGGGUUAUGUUCGUGGUGUAAGCCUAACUAUCAAGGUCCCAUAACACUCCUAGGGGAUAGAUGAGAUGGAUUGAACAUUUAAAUUAUUAGUGGUGAUGGAAACAUAAAAUAUAUGACUAAAGCACGUAUCUUUGAUUGAUGAAAUCUUCAGUGCUCUAUUUAUUAAUUAUUUGAAGAAUCUUCACGCCCCGGGGUCCCUUUAGUUUGAAAACCUGAACCCAGGGUAUGCCAGAUCCGCUACAAAUACAGGGAAUCUACUGUUCACACGGACAGAGUCUCCCCUAUAUUUGCACGGCGUCGCACAAGUACAAGAUGUCCCAACAGAGUAUAACCAGGAUACAACCACAAUACAUGAAUAGACAAUUCCCAACAUUCAUUCACCAUUCACCAGAUAUUUACCAUUCAGUGUUUAAACAAAAAAACCACAAGAAAAACUCUUUUGAAAGCUGUUUCCUACACGAAAACCUUUUCUUUUUAAAACGCUACCACAAGGGGUAGAAAACUAUUUUUUCCUUUUCACAAAAUUCACAAGUUCUAUAGUUCAUUCAAAACCAUAUGAAUUCGAAUAACAUAAACCAACUGAACUAUAAAAUAUCAAAGCGAUUAAUAAUACAAGUAAACAGGGUAGGAACUAAACCAACAAGCCGGGUCGGAAGCUCUAGCGACCACUACGAAUGCGUCUCACGUCUCGUCUCAUAUCUCACCACCCGCAAUACCUGAAAAAUGGUGGGGUAGGUGAGAACAUGUAAAUAUGUCUCCCCUCCCAGUGGGUACCGCAAGCCGAUAAAGGCAAGGAGUACUCACCGGAUCAGGAAGAGAUAUAUAACAAUAUGGUAAACAGAUACAGAUGCUGAUACGAAGAAACUACAGUAGCUAUAACAGAUAAAUGAGCAAUAAAUAAAACUGCUACUGUAAGAAAUGCAAAGCUUAGUAUGCCUCAAGAUAACCAAACCAAAACUGUACCAAAUCUGGUGUCUGCUAUAUUGGUCCGUAGACCUCAAACGCUGCCUGUCACUGAUCUGCACCGACCUAAUUCACCCGCCCCGCAGGACGACCCAUCCGGAUAAGCACACCUCCGGUCGGUGGCCAAACCGACCUGGUGUCGUGAAUACCCCCAAGUACUGUGACUAAGUCAUGCUGGUAUGCUCAAUAUAAAAACCGGCUGAAGCCGGUGCCUAGGCCGAAGCCAGAAACAAGGGCGUACCACGCCGAACCACGAUCAACCAGAUCAAUAGAUAUGCAAAUAUAUAGAACUACUCUACUCCUACUAAGAAUACUAAGCAUGCAAACAACGAGUAGAGUAUACUGGAAUAAUCAUAGGUGCAAGGCUCAAAAUAUACUAUGCAAUAGUAACAACACAAGAGUAAGGGUAAGAAACCAUCAGUGAGCGUGCACCACUGUACCAACGUCGGAUCGAAGUACCGACCUGUCACUGUCGCGUCGGAAAACCUGGAUGCACACAAGUCGACCGGACCUACGAAGAUCCACUAGGUUAGUAUCCAACCCACUAACCUGAAGUACACAAUCUCACAAACCUCCACAAAAGAUCCCUGUAAUCGGUUUUCCAAAACCAAUUACCGUAACUCACCGGAAGUCCCGAAAACCACACUCGGACGCCGUUGGGACCCACUAAGUGUCCCGAAAUGCACCGAGCGUACCACGAGUCACCCGCUGCCACAAAACACUCCUGUUUGGAUGUCUUGGCAGCAAACACAAGAUAACACCGCUACACAAUUAUCGCCGGAUAAUUGUACGAAUCCGGGUUCCCGAAAGGGUCUAUUUCGACACCGGAACCCAUCGUCGCUCACCCAUCAUCACCGAACCCACAAAAUGAUGAUAGUGACCAGCCAACAAGGCUCAGCGACAAUUUACAGGACAAUCAAAUCACGUCGGAAGAAAUCCGAACCGAAACCGCGUUCUUUCGGCGAAUUUCGCGAAAAACGCACCGAAAUCGACUCUUCGAUUUCCGCAAAAGCUAAUGAAUCAUGGACAAUCAGUCCAGAGGUCACCAUACAUGCCUACACACUGCCCACAGUAGCCACAAAGCGCACAAUUGCACAAAAGCCCCUGUAUUUACAUAAAAUCCCAAUAUUUUUUAUAAAUCGGGCGAUAACAUGGCUCGUUCAUGUAAAUCGAGGACUCCCGAGGUCUACCGAGACAUGCACUGAUAGGUAUCGAUGUGUCGGAGGCCGUGCUCACGAUCUGGAGCACAAUAGCUCACUGUGGGAGGCGCGGGAGCAACCCGAAGUUCUGCCAACAGUGCGCAGUCGGGGAAAAUCAUACCGAACAGGCCGAUACAAUAUCUGCUGAUCCAAAGUAAGGUGAGCACUGUGAUCGGCACUGACCAACGAUCACGGUGCUCACCUCCGGUGCCAUCAGCACAGCCUCAGAUCGCUGGAUAAACGUGCGCAAACCCGAAACAACAGCCAAAAAGGCUCUACAGGGUCGACACCGCCGAAACAGCAGAAGGGAGUGUCCCCGACAGAAACUAAAGUGAGCACGAUGAUCAGCAAUUUGACAUGAUCAUCGUGCUCCAUUCCAUAGAGAUUGGGGAAGCUUGGGAAACUCAGGACAGCAAACCGCCAUGGAAUAGCCCUAUUUCGGGCUUGGCCGGAGCAAGCUUUCUCCGGCCAGCUUCCGGCGGCACGGCGAGGUGCGCGCGGGCCAGGGAUGGGUGCGGGGGAGGUGAGGAACACUAUGCUCACCUCAGGUGGCGGCAGUGACGGCGGAGCAAACCGAGCCCGCACCAGCUAGGGCUCGGAUUCCAGAGCAGCUGCAGCCACAGCGGCGGCCGGGGCUCCUCGGGGACGAAGACGGUAGGUCCCCAGAGGCCGGAGUAGGAGGAGGGAGGCGGCGGGCGAUAGCGGCGGGGGCCCGCGGCUCGGGUAUGGCCGCCCGAGCUUGGCUCGGUCUGUAGGCUAGGACGCCGGCGCCCAAGGCGCGCGGCGGCGGCGGCGACUCGCUGGGGCGGCAACGUCCGACGGGGAGGGUUGCCGAGGCUUCGGAAAAGGCGGCAGAGGUGGUCCAAGGGGCGGCGGUGCGGAGGCUAACCUCUGAAGCUCGGCUCAGCCCGAGCAGGUCUGGGCGGCCGCGGUUGACAGAGGCGGCGGCGGUGGCCCGCAGAGGCGGCGGCGACUAGCCAGGGGAGACUCCGACGAGGUCGGGGCGACGCCGGCGACGAACCCAGAGGCAAUGCAGCCUCGGCUAAGCUCUAACCCGAGAGAAAGAGAGAGAGAUGGAUGGAGAGAGAGAUGGAUGGUGGCUCGGCGGCGGCCGGGGCUCAACCGGCGGCGGCCGAGGGUGCGCGGCUAGGGCAGGAGAGCAAGGUGAAGGUGGCAGGGGCGACUAGCGUAGCUGGGGGCUGGCUAGGGUUAGGGUUAGACGGAAGAAACCCUAAAAGCUCUAUAUAUACCGAGGUGCCGAUUUGCGAGUUAACCCACAAAACCUCAGUAUUUCGAACUGAAUCCCUCACAGUGCGUGAACAACGCGAGAAUACCCCUUCACGUGAGAUCUCGCGUAAAACGGUACAUAAAAUGUCGUGACUAUUGCGAAAUUACCGUUUUGCUAACACCGACCUUUUCUCGAUCAACGCGCAAUCUCCGUAAAUCCGUCGGUCCGAUUUGCAAACGGAUUGCACCAGUGCGAUCAGCACGACAGAGACCACAAAGCUACGAUUUCGUUUCUCCUUGAUCGGUCUCGGAUUCGCGACGAACUCAGUCCAUCAUUCCAACGAAAGAAACUACGCACAAAUACAUAUAAAACAUGCAUUUUUGAAUUUUCUCGAAAUCCGUGCCUCAAACUCAAAAUCCGUCAGCGCUAUCAGUUCUAGAAUAACCAAACCGUUCGAAACAAGCUAUUGGACUGCUAUGAACGGAGUCCGAUACGCGCCAGAAGCCAACUUCACAUCGUGGCUUUUCCGGAAAACCGAGUUACUAUUCACUUUAAGUGAAACUUGAAAAUCGCGUAGAAUCUUCGAUUUAACUCGUUUUCUCCCGAAACUUGACGAGUACCUUUAUAAUUAAAUUACACACAAAAAUAUCGUCAAUUGAGGGUUUAACUACACUGAAAAAAUUUUAGUCCUUACAAUCUAAUUGAUUAGGUAAAUGAUAUAUGAAUUCAACUCUCUUCCUCAAAAAAAAAAAAGAAAAAAAGUUUAAUAUUAUAUUUUUAAAUAAUUCAAAAGGAUGUUUGGUAAUAGACUUUUAUGAAAGAAAACUAAAUAGAGAGAGGAAAAAAUUGAAUAUUUUUAAAAUUACAU
rnacentral:lncRNA from 1 species